GAGAGGUAUAGCUGGAUCCUCAGGCAGUU
rnacentral:piRNA from 1 species